rnacentral:rRNA from 1 species
UCGCCAACGAGUGGCGGACGGGUGAGUAACACGUAGGUAACCUGCCCAGAAGCGGGGGACAACAUUUGGAAACAGAUGCUAAUACCGCAUAACAACGUUGUUCGCAUGAACAACGCUUAAAAGAUGGCUUCUCGCUAUCACUUCUGGAUGGACCUGCGGUGCAUUAGCUUGUUGGUGGGGUAAUGGCCUACCAAGGCGAUGAUGCAUAGCCGAGUUGAGAGACUGAUCGGCCACAAUGGGACUGAGACACGGCCCAUACUCCUACGGGAGGCAGCAGUAGGGAAUCUUCCACAAUGGGCGCAAGCCUGAUGGAGCAACACCGCGUGAGUGAAGAAGGGUUUCGGCUCGUAAAGCUCUGUUGUUAAAGAAGAACACGUAUGAGAGUAACUGUUCAUACGUUGACGGUAUUUAACCAGAAAGUCACGGCUAACUACGUGCCAGCAGCCGCGGUAAUACGUAGGUGGCAAGCGUUAUCCGGAUUUAUUGGGC